AUUGAACGCUGGCGGCGUGCUUAACACAUGCAAGUCGAACGAUGAACUUGGAGCUUGCUCUGGGGGAUUAGUGGCGAACGGGUGAGUAACACGUGAGUAACCUACCCUGGACUCUGGGAUAACUUCGAGAAAUCGGAGCUAAUACCGGAUAGGACCUUGCACCGCAUGGUGUGGGGUGGAAAGUUUUUCGGUUUGGGAUGGACUCGCGGCCUAUCAGCUUGUUGGUGAGGUAAUGGCUCACCAAGGCGUCGACGGGUAGCCGGCCUGAGAGGGUGACCGGCCACACUGGGACUGAGACACGGCCCAGACUCCUACGGGAGGCAGCAGUGGGGAAUAUUGCACAAUGGGCGCAAGCCUGAUGCAGCAACGCCGCGUGCGGGAUGACGGCCUUCGGGUUGUAAACCGCUUUUAGUAGGGAAGAAGCCUUCGGGUGACGGUACCUGCAGAAAAAGGACCGGCUAACUACGUGCCAGCCGCCGCCGUAAGAC
rnacentral:rRNA from 1 species